rnacentral:tRNA from 1 species
GGGGUUGUAGUUAAAAAUAACAUUUAAUUUGCAAUUAAAAGGUACUUAUAUAGUCUUCCUCG